rnacentral:rRNA from 1 species
UAAUACGAGGGGGGCAAGCGUUGUUCGGAAUUAUUGGGCGUAAAGGGUGCGUAGGUGGUUCGGCAAGUCUUGUGUGAAAUCUUCAGGCUCAACUUGAAGUCUGCACAAGAAACUGCCGGGCUUGAGUAUGGGAGAGGUGAGUGGAAUUUCCGGUGUAGCGGUGAAAUGCGUAGAUAUCGGAAGGAACACCUGUGGCGAAAGCGGCUCACUGGACCAUUACUGACACUGAGGCACGAAAGCUAGGGGAGCAAACAGGAUUAGAUACCCUGGUAGUCCUAGCCCUAAACGAUGAUCGCUUGGUGUGGCGGGUAUCCAACCCUGCCGUGCCGAAGCUAACGCGUUAAGCGAUCCGCCUGGGGAGUACGGUCGCAAGGCUG